rnacentral:rRNA from 1 species
UCAGUUAGUGGUGGGGUAAUGGCUUACCAAGACUAUGACGCAUAACUGGUUUGAGAGGAUGAUCAGUCACACUGGAACUGAGACACGGUCCAGACUCCUACGGGAGGCAGCAGUGGGGAAUAUUGCACAAUGGACGGAAGUCUGAUGCAGCAACGCCGCGUGGAGGAUGACACAUUUCGGUGCGUAAACUCCUUUUAUAUAAGAAGAUGAUGACGGUAUUAUAUGAAUAAGCACCGGCUAACUCCGUGCCAGCAGCCGCGGUAAUACGGGGGGUGCAAGCGUUACUCGGAAUCACUGGGCGUAAAGAGCGUGUAGGCGGAUUGAUAAGUUUGAAGUGAAAUCCUAUAGCUUAACUAUAGAACUGCUUUGAAAACUGUUAGUCUAGAAUGUGGGAGAGGUAGAUGGAAUUUCUGGUGUAGGGGUAAAAUCCGUAGAGAUCAGAAGGAAUACCGAUUGCGAAGGCGAUCUACUAGAACAUAAUUGACGCUGAGAUGCGAAAGCGUGGGGAGCAAACAGGAUUAGAUACCCUGGUAGUCCACGCCCUAAACGAUGUACACUAGUUGUUGUGAGACUAGAUCUUGCAGUAAUGCAGUUAACACAUUAAGUGUACCGCCUGGGGAGUACGGUCGCAAGAUUAAAACUCAAAGGAAUAGACGGGGACCCGCACAAGCGGUGGAGCAUGUGGUUUAAUUCGACGAUACACGAAGAACCUUACCUGGACUUGACAUAGUAAGAAUGAUUUAGAGAUAGAUUAGUGUCUGCUUGCAGAAACUUGCAUACAGGUGCUGCACGGCUGUCGUCAGCUCGUGUCGUGAGAUGUUGGGUUAAGUCCCGCAACGAGCGCAACCCUCGUCCUUAGUUGCUAACAGUUAGGCUGAGAACUCUAAGGAGACUGCCUGCGUAAGUAGGAGGAAGGUGAGGAUGACGUCAAGUCAUCAUGGCCCUUACGUCCAGGGCUACACACGUGCUACAAUGGGGUAUACAAAGAGCAGCGAUACGGUGACGUGGAGCAAAUCUUAUAAAAUACCUCCCAGUUCGGAUUGUAGUCUGCAACUCGACUACAUGAAGUUGGAAUCGCUAGUAAUCGUAGAUCAGCUAUGCUACGGUGAAUACGUUCCCGGGUCUUGUACUCACCGCCCGUCACACCAUGGGAGUUGAACUCAUUCGAAGCGGGGAUGCUAAAUAGCUAC